AGGAGUUUCCUCCCAGUCACAGUCAUGAGAGGAGGCCAGAACAAGUUAUUCAACUCCUUAGAAGACACCUAGAGGAAAGUUUUAACUUUAUUAGUAGUGCUAGCACCUCUAGUCCCUCACUACCAUGGUGAGGAACAAGGCCUGCAGGGCAGAGGUCCCUUCCCUUCCUCAACAGGGCAUGGCAGGGCAGCUGAGGGGAAGCACCAAAGAGGCUGGCGGAUAAUUCAUCCCCUCCCAUGGCUGAGGCAGAAGCAGGAAUGCAGCAGCAGUGACUCAGGCCUGGGCCAAUCCUUUGUACCACUGUUGUCACUGAGUACACACACAACACUCACCACACAGCCCACUACCGCUGCAAGCCCAACCAUGCAACAGCCUCUUCUUCCUGUGCUUCCUGGCUGCUGUGGCACCUGUCUGCCAUUUUAACUAAGGAGCUUCUGCUCCAGGCUCUGUGUUCUGAUUACAGCCUGUCAAUAGCAGAUAACUGAGAGUGCCAAUGGAAUACUGCUUUCCUACAGGAAAAUCACUUCAGCACUAUGCAUUUCAGUUUCCUGCUUGUAAAAUGGGGAUAACCAUACCUGCGUUUUUCCAAAAACAGAUGCAGACUAAGACUAUUUCAAUGCUUGGACACUGAUAAAGCCACUGGGAAGAGACAUAAUUUCAGCCUUUUAAAUCACUUAUUUUAUCUUUUAUAAGUCACUUUUUAACAGAGGUUUUCAGCAACAAUAGUAUUCAUCAGUAUGAAUUGAGACAUUUUUUUAUUAAUUUGAAGUUGGAGGUUUUGUUUGUCUGUUUGUUUGUUUGUUUGUUUUAAUAGUCUUUUCUCAGACAAGUUUUGGGGUUGAUAGUUCCAUAGCUAAGGAUUUACAUUUGCAUGGAUCCCAAAGCAGAGAAGAGAGAAAUGUCUCAGGUGGUAUGCAGAAAAUGACUAAUGCAACAGAGUCUGAUCUCAGUUGGAGCCACAAAGCAUUCUAUAAUACAAAUUGUUAUAACAGGCCACUAGCAAACACCUAAUAGUCUGGUCUUACAGAAUAUGAAUUCACAAAAACUCUCAUGAUACUUCUGUCAUGAUUCAGUGCACAAAGUUUUAUGCUGAGAACAUUUUUACAUGAGCAGCAAUUAAAAUACGUAUCACUGCCUUUAACUUGAAAAAAGUAUCUUACUUUUAAUCUCAGUGUUAAAAUUGUCAUAAUCUCAAAAGGACCAUGCAAAGAACAAAAUUUCUCACAGAAGAUUGAUCCAAAACACUCUUAGAAACCCCUCUGAAAAAUACAGUUCUAGAAAGAAGCCCAACUUAUCUAAAGGACUUGAAAAGCAAAGCAACCCUGCUGUAGCAAUGUUAGAGCACAAUUUAUUGAAGAGAAAACAUUUCCCUGCACGUUAAGUUGUAUUGCCUUUGGCACAGAUUCUUCAGCUGUAAAUUUGUCCAAGGAAUGACAUACAGUACACAUCAGAGAAGUAAUGAAGGAAAGAGGCUUAGAUGGGCACUUUGCAGCUGACAGGGAGCCGUUAUUGAGCCUUGUCUGCUGUAGUUAGCAAAACAAAAAAGAACACAGAGAGAACAUCUUUGUCUGUCCCCAACCCCUGCUACCCUCUCUUUCAAACAGAAAAAUAAAUAAAUAAUAAGAAAAUAGCCAUCUGACAAGCAAAGCCUAGCCAGAGGGUCAAAAAUGAAGAUCCUGGGAAAGGUCAAGUUUAAUCUCUACCCACGAUGCCCUCACAACAGCUGACUAACAAAAGGGGCUCAGCACUGUGACUGACAGAAUUCUUAAUUGUAUCCACUCAUUCAUGACAAUUUGAUUAAAAUAUUACGCCAAAGUCUCACCCCCUGUUUGCUUCGAUCCUCCAAAUCUAAUUUUGAAUUUUCAGAAAGAAGAUUACCUCCACAAGCAUGACUGGGAUGCUAUUAACUUCUACUUAAUCUUUAUUACUGAUGUGAAUUUAACAUAUGUAUGGCUUCGUCUCGCUCCUGUUGUUUUCUCUCUAAAGUAACAUCUAGGCAAUAUACAAGUGGCGGACAUUAAUUUUCACUUUGAUAUUCUGUCAUACCAAAGCUCAUACUUUCAUAUGAAAACUUAAAGAUGCACCAUCUUAAUAGCAUGGCACAACUAGAUUGCAUUAAACAAAAUAAAAACCCCAAAUACACACUAGCUCCCACCAGCCCACACCAAGAAAAGAACAAAACCCUGCUGAGCAGACUUCAAAGUAUUAUAACUUUUCACUGUUAUCUCCAGCUAUCCCCUUCAUUACAGUAGCUUUUCCAAGGCCUCACAAGAACAAGUAAAUUCUAGUUAAUGUCAAUAAUGCAAUUGUGAAGAAGUCAAGCAGGCAGUUCAAAUUUCUAAUCAAUAUGGACUAGUCCCAAAUUUAUGAAACUAGUAAUUGAAUAUGGCCAUUGUUACCUGUGUCCUAAUUCUCAAAAGAUAAUUGAAUAAAAGAUGUUAUUUCAUUCUCAAAUAUUCUUAUUCCCUCACUUCAUUUCUCUCACAAGUAACACAAAGAGAAUUAACAUCACCAGCUCAAUUGUGUUUACGAGAGUAUUCACAAAUGUAUUGAACAUGAAACAUUACUAAUAAAACUGACUGGGUUGGAAAAAAUCCACUGAAAAAUAUUAUUUUUU